UACGUAGGGGGCAAGCGUUGUCCGGAAUCAUUGGGCGUAAAGCGCGUGUAGGCGGUCCGAUAAGUCGGUUGUGAAAGUCCAGGGCUCAACCCUGGGAUGCCGACCGAUACUGUCGGACUAGAGUUCGGAAGAGGCGAGUGGAAUUCCCGGUGUAGCGGUGAAAUGCGCAGAUAUCGGGAGGAACACCAAUGGCGAAGGCAGCUCGCUGGGACGUUACUGACGCUGAGACGCGAAAGCGUGGGGAUCAAACAGG
rnacentral:rRNA from 1 species